UUGUACAGAGUGAAAUAAUCGAGGCACAGAAAGACAAAUACUGCGUGAUCUCAUUUGUGUAAUCUAAGAAAGCUGAACACAUAGAAGCACAGAGAAGACUGGUGGUUACCGGUGACUGGGGUUGGGGAGAUGAAGAAAGGGGAGAUGUUGGUCAAGGAGUACAAAGUUCAGAGUAGAUUUUAAAUGUUCUCACAGCACAAUAAAUAAAUAAAUAAAUAAAUAAAUAAAUAAAUAAGGUGAGGUGAUUGAUAUGUUAAUUAGGUUGAUUCAAUCAAUCCACAAUGUAUAUGUAUAUCAAAACAACACACUAUUCUCCAUAAAUAUAUACAAUUACUAUUUGUCAAUUAAAAAUAAGAGAGUACACAUUUGCAGUGAAGAUUGUAUUUUUGUUGAAUUUUCCUUUAAGAUGACUUAUCUCCUUUUCUCUCUGUGUUAGACAAGUGAGAACCUCUGAUUGAGUACCUGUAAUGACAAAGGCAGUGAGGGGUCUGGUGGGAUCCCCAGCCAAG
rnacentral:lncRNA from 1 species